ensembl:lncRNA
GGGGGUGAACAGGUACUGCUCUGACUAAAGCAACCUCCUCCCUGUAGCAAUGUUGUUCUGCUCAGCCAAGUCAGAGGUCAGACAGAGCUGCCCAAGGCCCUCCCUCCUGCUGCCCAAAGGAAAGGAAGGGAGCAGCUCCCCAUGCAUGCAUGUGGCUCGGGAGCUGCAACUUCCAGGGCAGAGAGGGCCUGGCCUGCCGGCCUGCCCAGAACCUCGACCGAGGCAAAGGGAACAAGCAACUGGGAAAAGCCAGAGAAAACACCCUGCUUGCAGCCCGGGCAGUCCACUUACGUUGAAGAAGUUGGUCUUGUUCCUCUCACAGAAGAGACCCUGUGCUGGCAUGUGCCUCAGCUGCUGCCAGGGGAGACUGCUGCCUAGCAGCACAUCGCGCGCCCACGGCAGAUUCUAUAUAGGACAGAGUGCAAGAAAAGAACAAAUUGGCUGGCAGGAAGGAGAAGCCAGAGUGGUGGCAGCUGCUGCGUCCCUUCUUUCCAUCCCUCCCUCCUUCAAAGCUCCCCAAGAAAUGUAACUAACUGCUCCCAUAAAGAAUAAGCAGAAAUGGAUUCAGCAGAAAAGCGAAAGGGGCCCAAGUCUCCCCAGCCAUCGUCAAGCCAAUGCAGGUUGCAGCAGCUGUUGCCAUUUAUGGGCUUCUCCAACAUUUGCACAGCCAACAGACUUAUCAGUCGCAGCGCUGAUGUUCAAGCAAGCCGUGAUGGGCAACAAGCAGGUAAGGAAAGUCUAUGAAUCAUUUUUAACAGGGUUAGGGCAACACAGGCAAUAUUGGUUACAAAAGCAUGAAUAUACAAAAAACAGCAGAAACGAACCAAAACAGCCACAAUUGAGUGAACAAUGGCACAGAGUGACAAGAAUGACACUGGCUCCCCUGGAAUGUUUCCCUACCUUCAAGGCCUGGGGAAGCAAGAUCCUGCUGACUGACAAAGGAAGCUGGACAGCAGGGCAGCCAGGAGGGAAAGCAGGCAAAUAAGUCAAGUCUGGCCAAUUUCAAUUUAGACUCUUCCCAUUCCUUUCUAUAGAACGGACUCUGCCGAUCCAAAAUGGGCCCAAGAUGGGCCUCUCUUUAGCAUUUAAUGUUCAACCAGAUGGGUUUUCUCUAGUUGUCUUGUCUCAUUCUGCCGUAAUAAAAGGCAGGCAUCCUUUCAUGCUCUCUGGCUGCGUCACUGAAACUCCAGUACAAAUGUGGCCAGGUCAAGCUGCUUCUGUCCACAGGAGUCCAUUUCUGUGCCCUGGCCUUAACUGUGGGGCUGGGCUGAUGACAAGAGAGUGAUUUUUUUUUUUAAAAGCCUUAUGGUUAAUCUGAGUCACAAUCAAAAUGAGGGACAUGUCAUGGACAUCGCCAUAAGGAAGAGACUGGUCUGAGAAUCAAACUUCUCCUUGUUCAAACCAGGGGGGAGCAUUGCAGAGGCAAGGACAGAGGAGUUCUCCCCCUCACAUCCCCAAGGAGGCCUCCCUAUUCUCCCUGAUUAAGGAUUCAAUUCCUGCCAUGACCAGAUGGUUCUGCCCACCCCUCUGAAAGAGCAGGUCAGCCUCAUUUUCUGGAACUCUUAAGCUGAGGUGUCCCAUCUGAUCAGUUUAGUUGAAAGCCCUAACUGAAAUUCCGAUGCCACAGAUGCUAAUAUUUAUUAGUAAGCCAUUAAACCUGCUAGGACACACUGAGUGAACUGGCUUACAGGGCAAUGGAGAGCAACACCACGAAACAACCAAAUCAACUUUUUCAGCUGACUGGUGGCCAUGGGAGUUAUAAGCGCCAUUUAAUUUAGGCACAAAGUCCCUUCCUGAGGGUGACUAGCUGUUGCUCAACACUUCUGACUCACCCAGCCCAGGUGAAACUGUGCAGGUGUUGAAUUAUGUCUGCAGCCAGUCAUGGAUUGGGUAAGACAAGAAACCGGCUUUCAUUCUGUCUUCUGAGCUGCAUCCAAAUCCCAGAUGGUUUGCAGACAACAUGUGAUCAGUCCUUUAAUGGGGUUUCUCUUAUUUACAGGAGCAUGUUUCUAUCCUCCAUUUCUAUGGAGGCCCUGGCUGACUUUGAGUUAACCUCUCUCUUAGCCCAGUGUACAUCAUAAAACUUUCAUCGGGGAAAAUAAGAGGAGGAGUGCUCUGUGUGUCUUGGUGAACUCCAUAACAAAAUGCAGUAGAUAAAUCUAAUGGUAAUUUUUUAGGGACCAGAACUAGACCCUCACCAUCCCAGGCCUCUCUGUUCAUAUAAAGGACAAACUGAGAAGAGCAGCCCCAGGGACACCCCUCCCCCCAGGGUCGAGGGCUCCUAAUGAUCUUCUAUAACUGCAUUUCAUCUCUGACCCAUAAAUACUCGUAAGUAUUUAUGGCCAACUGAAACAUUUCCCUUUCUCCCUUCCAUGGCUGGUUAUCAGGAUUUAUCUUGCUCCACUCCCUCCCAACUGUGGCAGUUUCACCCCUGAGACUUGCCACAAUUCACUUCUCCUCUGGCCCUGCUUGGAGAGGGUCCCCCGAGAGCACCCCCGGAAAACUCUCACUGUUUUCUGAGUAAAAGUGGUCACUCAUUUGUCGUUGCUUCUAGCAUGUGCCACUUGGAUUUAAGGAGUUAUAUUGCAAGAGAGACCAGUAUGUUCCAAAAGAGAAGCCUUCUCAGAAAAGCAGUUUUAUGGGGCGACCAUGGACAGAGAAAUGAGAAAAUAGGUAGAUGGUGGCAAAAAUGCCAACAAAACAAUGCUGAAGCUCCUCUCAAAGGGAAGUGGAGCAGGGGAUGCAUCCUGGUGAAUGGGCCCAGGUCCACCAAAGAUCAAAGGUCUAGCUCUCUGGGCCAAAUUAUUCCAAAAGGAUGAGACAAGAUCUGUCACCCAGAUCCUCGUGCGCAAUGUUUGCAAGAAGGUUCCUAAAUAGGCAGCUAUCAUUAGUGGGUGGAGGGCAUCGUCUCUGGCUAUGACUGAAUGCCAAAAAUGAAUGAGCGACCCAAUGGUUGCAAUGGAAGACAGGAAGGGAAGCUGCAUUAUUGGUCUGCCUCUUGACUGACAGGAAAGGCUUCACCUGCAUGCUCGGCCUUAAGCCCUGCUUGGCCUACAGAGGCCAGGAAACAGCCUGGGGGUGAGGCUGUUUCUACCUUUUCCACACAAGGAAAGCAGCGGUCUCCACCUUGAUGCCCAAGAUCCAACUGAAGCCCCAUAAAGCAAGCAGGCAGCUGUUAAGAGGAAGCCCCUUCCUGUCUACCCUUUUGGAGCAUUUUGGAGGACUGGAGAGCAACUCUGUGGCAGACUCCUCAGCGCUCCCUGGAAGAGAUGGCAGAGCUUUCUGUGACAGAGGCAGACCCUUGCAAGGCAACCUGGUGGACCAGGGCCCACCCCAACAGGCAGCCACUUCCCAUCCAGCUGCAGCAGGACAAGCCGCCCAUCUGCUGCAGCACAAAGCCAACCCGACCCGUGAGAAGAAAGGGACAGUGUGCAGUGCCCAUGCUGUGACAGCCAGGAAUCCUGGGAGUUGAAGUCAUCCCAAGUGGGGCGCUCAGGACGAGGGCAGAAGUUUGGAUUUUUGGAGGGACUCUGGGAAAUGCCUCGAGCCUGAGACCUCAGGAAAGCGCAUGAACUAGACCCGCCUAUUGUUUAGGUCAGAGGGGAGGUGGUGGCAAAGGGGUUAAUGAGUGACAAUAUUGCCCGUGUUACCCUAGACCCCUCGCCCUCCUGGAAGCCGCCAAUUGAGCCCGCCCGCCCGCCAGGAGUCCAGCACCUCCAAGUGCCGACAGUAUUGAGAACAGGGACUGUACCAUCCGGUGUUGCCUGCUGAUGGCUUUUUUUACAUUUGACGUAAUCGUGGUCAACUGGAGUGGCUGUGUAGGGUGGGGAAGUCAGACCUGGACCAGAGGAAGAGAGCAGGGAAGUCCCGGGGCCUGGCAGAGUUCCUGCAGAAGAAUGCGAGUCCUCGUCUGCCAUGCAAAGCUUUUCCCUGGGGGAAGAAAAGGAUGAGACCGUGAAGAGCGGGAAGGCCCACCAUGGCUCCUGGGGUGGGGUGAGGGGAAUGGGG